UUCAUUCUACAUCAUCUAUUAGUCAACCCACACCAAUAUUUACCAGUCCUCUGAGUUCUUACAUCCUUUGAUUUGCACUCUAAGUUCUGCUUUAAACUGCAGUCAAUCGUAUCUCUGAAAUACGACUCUCUUUGUAGAACUGAUUUCUAAGUAAGUGACAAAUUAUUAUUUUUUUAAUAAUAUCCAUUAAGAUGUAAUCUUUGGGAACUAUGUGUAUUCCAGAUGCAAAACUGAAACAAACCAACUUUCAGAUUUGACCUGGGGAGACAACAUUUGAUAAUCAGUCUGAUAAAUGAUAAAUCAGUCUGAUUUCUUGGCCUCUUUGAUUAUACACAAUGGCACUUGGAUUAAUCUUCACAAUCCUCAGCAGAUAUAGCACCCAAACCUGCCCCCAGUGCUGGAGGCGAGGCCACCCACCGCAGAGCACAGUGAGACAACCCCUCCCCUCGCCCAGUGGCAGUGCUGGGCCUGCUGCCUGCCAGGGCACUGUGGACCCUUUGCCUGCCAGGGCACACUGCUGGCUCACAUUCAACUUGCCACAGCCCCCAUAUCACUUUGCAUGGGGCUGCUCUCCAUCUUCUUGUCUUUAGUCUGUACUCAGAUCAGGUGUUGCCUCAUCCCAUAUGCAGAAUCCAGCACUUGCUCUUGUGGAAUUUCAUGCAGUUGGUGAUUGCCCAGCUCUCCAAUGUACCAAGAUCUCUCUGCAGAGCUUCUCUGCCCUCAAGGGAGUCAACAGCUCCUUCUCGAUGCCAUCUGCAAGCUUAUUUAGUAUACCUUCAAGAAACAUAUCCAAGUAAUUAAUAGAAACAUUGAAUAGAAUUGGACUUAAAAUGGAGCCGUGUGAAGCCCACCGCUGACAGACGUAGCCCAACCCAUCAGCCAACUAUUCACCUGUCAUGUUAUGUUUUUGCCUAGCUGUAUGCUGGACAUGUUGUCCAUCAGGAUACUGUGAGAAACAGUAUUGAAAGCUUUGCUGUCAUCCAAAAAUAUUGCACAGAAUAUCAUCCCUUGGUUGAUUGGAUCUCCUUUAAUAAAGUGAGCCUCUGUGUAUUUCUGAAGACAACCACGGCAGUGAUCAAGGUUCACAGACUGACCUCUGUCUCUGCGUAUUUGAGUGGGACUUGAAAAUUUAUUUUUUACGCAUUUCUAUGAUAAUUUGGAUUUACUUCAGUAAAACUGAAGUCAGACUUAA